AUUGAACGCUGGCGGCAGGCCUAACACAUGCAAGUCGAGCGAGCGGCGGACGGGUGUGUAAUGUCUGGGAAACUGCCUGAUGGAGGGGGAUAACUACUGGAAACGGUAGCUAAUACAGCAUACCAUCAGAUGUGCCCAGAUGGGAUUAGCUAGUGGGUGGGGUAACGGGUCACACAGGCGACGAUCCCUAGCUGGUCUGAGAGGAUGACCAGCCACACUGGAACUGAGACACGGCCCAGACUCCUACGGGAGGCAGCAGUGGGGAAUUUUGCACAAUGGGCGAAAGCCUGAUGCAGCCAUCCCGCGUGUAUGAUGAAGGCCUUCGGGUUGUAAAGCACUUGCGGCGGAGAAGCGUUACCCGCAGAAGAAGCACCGGCUAACUCCGUGCCAGCAGCCGCGGUAAUAC
rnacentral:rRNA from 1 species